rnacentral:rRNA from 1 species
UACGGGGGGAGCAAGCGUUGUUCGGAUUUACUGGGCGUAAAGGGCGCGUAGGCGGUCAGCACAAGUCAGUUGUGAAAUCUCCGGGCUUAACUCGGAAAGGUCAACUGAUACUGUGCGACUAGAGUGCGGAAGGGGCAACUGGAAUUCUCGGUGUAGCGGUGAAAUGCGUAGAUAUCGAGAGGAACACCUGCGGCGAAGGCGGGUUACUGGGCCGACACUGACGCUGAUGCGCGAAAGCCAGGGGAGCGAACGGG